ACAUGCUGAGCGUUUGUUAAAAAAAUUUCGCAUGGUGAAUCCCCCUGUGCGGAGGGGCAAUCAGCAACCAGGUAUAUGUGAUAAUCGCGGAUUCAGGUGCUGAUACUGAAUUCACCGGGAGGCACCCGGCACCAUGCAAGAAAAAGAAUGUGCAUGCAAACAUGCCCCUCUCCGGAGGGGCUUUUUUAUGGGU
rfam:Escherichia coli O157:H7 str. EC4115, complete genome.